UACGUAGGGUGCGAGCGUUAAUCGGAAUUACUGGGCGUAAAGGGCUCGUAGGCGGUUCGUCACGUCGGGAGUGAAAACUCGGGGCUUAACCCCGGGCCUGCAGUGGGUACGGGCAGACUAGAGUGCGGUAGGGGAGACUGGAAUUCCUGGUGUAGCGGUGAAAUGCGCAGAUAUCAGGAGGAACACCGGUGGCGAAGGCGGGUCUCUGGGCCGUAACUGACGCUGAGGAGCGAAAGCGUGGGUAGCGAACAGG
rnacentral:rRNA from 1 species